GACGAACCGAGCGAACGUUUUUCGGAAUCACUGGGCUUAAAGGGCGCGUAGGCGGGCUGUCAAGUCUGGGGUGAAAUCCCGCGGCUCAACCGUGGAACUGCCUCAGAUACUGACGGCCUCGAGGGGGGUAGGGGCGAGCGGAACUAAUGGUGGAGCGGUGAAAUGCGUUGAUAUCAUUAGGAACUCCGGUGGCGAAGGCGGCUCGCUGGACCUUUUCUGACGCUGAGGCGCGAAAGCUAGGGGAGCAAACGGG
rnacentral:rRNA from 1 species